AGACGAAUCAUCUGGAAAGAUGAAUCAAAGAAGGUAAUAAUCCUGUAGUCGAAAAUGUUGUCUCUCUUGAGUGGAUCCUGAGUACGACGGAGCACGUGAAAUUCCGUCGGAAUCUGGGAGGACCAUCUCCUAAGGCUAAAUACUCUCUAGUGACCGAUAGUGAACCAGUACCGUGAGGGAAAGGUGAAAAGCACCCCGGAAGGGGAGUGAAAUAGAACCUGAAACCGUGUGCUUACAAGUAGUCAGAGCCCGUUAAUGGGUGAUGGCGUGCCUUUUGUAGAAUGAACCGGCGAGUUACGAUUUGAUGCAAGGUUAAGCAGUAAAUGUGGAGCCGUAGCGAAAGCGAGUCUGAAUAGGGCGUUUAGUAUUUGGUCGUAGACCCGAAACCAGGUGAUCUACCCUUGGUCAGGUUGAAGUUCAGGUAACACUGAAUGGAGGACCGAACCGACUUACGUUGAAAAGUGAGCGGAUGAACUGAGGGUAGCGGAGAAAUUCCAAUCGAACCUGGAGAUAGCUGGUUCUCUCCGAAAUAGCUUUAGGGCUAGCCUCAAGUGAUGAUUAUUGGAGGUAGAGCACUGUUUGGACGAGGGGCCCCUCUCGGGUUACCGAAUUCAGACAAACUCCGAAUGCCAAUUAAUUUAACUUGGGAGUCAGAACAUGGGUGAUAAGGUCCGUGUUCGAAAGGGAAACAGCCCAGACCACCAGCUAAGGUCCCAAAAUAUAUGUUAAGUGGAAAAGGAUGUGGCGUUGCCCAGACAACUAGGAUGUUGGCUUAGAAGCAGCCAUCAUUUAAAGAGUGCGUAAUAGCUCACUAGUCGAGUGACACUGCGCCGAAAAUGUACCGGGGCUAAACAUAUUACCGAAGCUGUGGAUUGUCCUUUGGACAAUGGUAGGAGAGCGUUCUAAGGGCGUUGAAGCAUGAUCGUAAGGACAUGUGGAGCGCUUAGAAGUGAGAAUGCCGGUGUGAGUAGCGAAAGACGGGUGAGAAUCCCGUCCACCGAUUGACUAAGGUUUCCAGAGGAAGGCUCGUCCGCUCUGGGUUAGUCGGGUCCUAAGCUGAGGCCGACAGGCGUAGGCGAUGGAUAACAGGUUGAUAUUCCUGUACCACCUAUAAUCGUUUUAAUCGAUGGGGGGACGCAGUAGGAUAGGCGAAGCGUGCGAUUGGAUUGCACGUCUAAGCAGUAAGGCUGAGUAUUAGGCAAAUCCGGUACUCGUUAAGGCU
rnacentral:rRNA from 1 species